CCUACGGGGGGCUGCAGUGGGGAAUAUUGGACAAUGGGGGGAACCCUGAUCCAGCCAUGCCGCGUGUGUGAAGAAGGCCCUCGGGUUGUAAAGCACUUUCAGUGAGGAAGAACGCCUGGUGGUUAAUACCCAUCAGGAAAGACAUCACUCACAGAAGAAGCACCGGCUAACUCCGUGCCAGCAGCCGCGGUAAUACGGAGGGUGCGAGCGUUAAUCGGAAUUACUGGGCGUAAAGCGCGCGUAGGUGGCUUGAUAAGCCGGUUGUGAAAGCCCCGGGCUCAACCUGGGAACGGCAUCCGGAACUGUCGAGCUAGAGUGCAGGAGAGGAAGGUAGAAUUCCCGGUGUAGCGGUGAAAUGCGUAGAGAUCGGGAGGAAUACCAGUGGCGAAGGCGGCCUUCUGGACUGACACUGACACUGAGGUGCGAAAGCGUGGGUAGCAAACAGGAUUAGAUACCCCAGUAGUC
rnacentral:rRNA from 1 species